rnacentral:tRNA from 4 species
GCCCGGAUGGUGAAAUUGGUAGACACAAGGGAUUUAAAAUCCCUCGGCCUUUGGCUGUACCGGUUCGAGUCCGGUUCCGGGCACCA